CUGCGGCCCGCGCCGCGUGUCCACUGCGCAUGCUCGGAUCCUGCUCGCCGGCGCAUCGGCCCCUCUCACCCGGGAUGCACAGGCGCGAGUGGUGGGUGUGGGAGACCCGCAGGACCCCGGGCGGGGCAAUGUGGCAAUGGAAGGCCCUGGUAGUAGGGGGUUCGAAAGUCACCCUCUAUCCCUGUGAAGCUCCGGCUGGCACCGGCUCCCGAGUGAUAGCUCAGCCUCUGGAUCCCGCCUGUCCUUGGCGGCGGCUGCGGUCUCACAGUCGAGCGAGCGCAGCACUGUGAAACCGUUCUUUGUGUAGACAACUGGGAGAUAAACUUAGUGAGGUGGGGACAUCGGAGGGUAAACUAGAAAAAGAAUGUCUUUUGAGACAAAGAACUCUGAGGUAUUCUUUUGUCUUUUUUUUUUUUCUUUAAUGGGUAAGAAACGAGUGCUAGAAUUCAAAGCAUAAAAGGAUAAGCAAACUGGCUGUGGAUUUUAAGGAUGUGGGUUUGUAGUUGGCUAAAUAGUAUGUCACCACCCCAGUUCAUGUCCAUCUGGGACAUUCAGUGUGAGUACCAGAAAAGAAUCUUUGUAUGUGAAUUAGGUAAGGUGAUAUGCUGAAUUAAGGUGUUCCAUAAAACUAGUGAUUAGUGUUCUGAGAGGAGAGCUUACACAGACAUAGAAACGGCAGAAGGAAGAAGGCAGAAAUUGGAGGGAUGCAGCUGGAAGCUAAAGAAUGCUGGAAGUUAUCAGAGCUAAGAAAAGGUAAAAAGGGUUAUCCAAAGACCCUGACAGCAAUCUCAUUUUAUACUUAAGAGCUUCUAAAACUUUAAAGGUAGGCUUCUGUUUUAUGCCAUCUGGUUUGUUGUACUUUGUUAUUAACAACCCCAGGAAAUUAAGGCAAGGAUCAAGACAUAAAUAUUUUAAAUUCUAUCAUGCUAAUACACUUGAAGGGGCUGUGGUAGUUUGAAAGAAAAUGACCCCAAGAGGGAAUGACUCUAUUAGGAGGUGUGACUCUAUUAGGAAGUGUGUCAGUGUGGAGGCAGGCUUUGAGGUCUCAUGUAUGCUCAAGGCAUGCCCAGUAAGACAGACUUCGUUGCCUGUGAGUCAAGAUGGAAGAAUUCUCAGCUCCUUUUCUAGCACCAUGUCUGCCUGCAUGUUGCUUUGUCCUGCCAUGACAAUAAUGGCCUAAACCUCUAAAACUGAAAGCCAGGUACCAAAAUUAAAAGUUUUCCUUCGUAAGAGUUGCCAUGGUCAUGGUGUCUCUUCACAGCAAUAGAAACCCUAACUAGGACAACAGGUAAAGAUACCGGAUUCAGCAUUUUAUUUCAAAGGUUUAAAAAAAAUACUUUUGUGGUAUGUGUAAAUACAGAAUAGAUCUUUUUCUGUUACAUUAAACUUGGCAAAUAAUUACAGGGUGGGUUUGGAAAUCCACUGUGAGAGGAACUCGAGUGAAACUCCAUCUAUCUCUUUACCCCCAUCCACCCAGACGUGCCCACACUACAGGAAGUGGAAGUUUGAGAAGUAUGUGGAUAUAUACCCUGGGAAGCAUCCAGAGGCUUAGCCAAGAGCUGAAAGAUCUGGGGAAUUCUAGCCGGGCAAUAAGUAAAUCAGAAGCAAUACCGUUCUUGGAGGGAUUGCAAAGAUUAGUGCCCUGUCAGACUUGAAAUUUUGUAUUGGUGGUGAUGCCAGCCAUAUCCCUUUCCUGCUCACAUAUUUUCAUCUAGAGAACACGAGUGGGUCCUGGACAAUGACACUGAAAUCUCAAACUCAAUUAUAUGGUAAUUCCACUUAUAUUUCUAUCAAUAAUUUGCUAACAAUGGAUCUAGAAAAACUUCUUUUUUUUUUAAUCCUAUGCAUGUUGAAAAGAAAAAUAGAUGGGUUUUACUUUUGAUCAGAAGGACUAGAAAUAAGCUUCUGUGUUGUCACUUAGGUCACAGUAGCCUCCAUGUUCACUUUCCCCUCCCACAGAAUCCCAUACUUACCCAUUAACAUGGAUGGUAAUAGGCAGGAAGUGGUGAAAUGGGAAGAAAGUGAGGGAUAUCCUUGAGUUCAACAGAGGCUGUUUCAUCUCAAGCAUUCAUGGCUUGGGGCUAAAAUUCUGGAAAAACAACAUCCACCAAGGCCUCCCCAGGCCAAUAGUUUCCAGAAUGGAUUUCACAGACAACUUUAGGGUGAGGAUUAGAAAGGACUUUUUUUUUUUAAUAGAAGACAGCUCAAGACAAAGGAAGCAAGCAGCACUCCUUGAUAGCAGGAGGGGAAUCCCAAGAAAACUUGCCACUGAGGUCUUUGUUAGUAAGGCUUUACAGGAUUGAGGCAUAGGGAGGUCAACUGAUCAGGGCAAUCGACCUACCCAUACUUGUUCAUAUGCUUCUCCAUUCUGGUGGGUGGACUGGAGUUUUGAGCACACCUUCAGGACCAACAGCUUCCAGGCAGCUCAGUUCCUUAGGUUGCUAUUCGUCUUAGUUUUAUUCCCUGUUGCUGUGAUAAAAUACCUUGCCAAAAGAAAUGUAGGGGGAAAAGUUAAUUUGGACCCAAAACUCUGAGUUACACUCCAUCAUUGCAGGAUAGUCAAGGCAAUGGGAACCAGAAGCAACUAGUUACAUCCAGUUAAGAGGAGAGAGAAUAAUGUGCAUUUAUUUCCCUGUGCUCGGCUCACUUUCUCCAUUUCAUAUAAUUAGUCCAUGACACAAAAUUAGGGACAGUGUUGCCCACAUUUAGGCUGUAUCUUUUCCCAUGAUCUAGCCUAAUAAAUACAUUCUCCACCAUACUUUGUAUGACCUAAAAUAGGCCCUCACUGAGACUCCUCCCCAGGUGAUUCUAGAUUGUGUCAUCUUGACACAAUGAGCAGUCACAUUAUAUAAAAGGAAGAAAAAGGUAAGAAACCAGAACAUGAGCCAAGAUCCCUAAACAUUUUGGACACUCCUGGCCUCCAGCCAGGACAAGAACUACUGCUAGAAGAGUCCCAGCUUCUGGCUUCUGGUUGCCAAGAACAAGAAGCAGAGCCGCCCUUUUCAGGUCCCCUCACCAAACUGUCUGACCAGUUUCUUCCUCCUGCUUUUGUCAGUAGCAAUCACUCUGGACCUGUUGGUAAUGCUUCAGUGUCAUGGGUAUGGAAUAUCUCCCCCAAAUUCUAUUUCAGUGAAAUUUUAGGAUGUCAGGAUGUCACUUCUAAGAUGAAAGAUAAGUUGUUGUAUCUGGCCCUUCCUUCAGAAAGUAGGGCAUGUGCCCAGUGGGAGAAGAGAAAACUCUUCAGCAGGUCCAGACUAGCAAGCAGAUCACUGUGCCAUUCAGGCCACAUGAGCUUGCAAAUCCAGUUGUUCUUGACGUGGGACUGGCAGAUUUAGAUACCGUUUCAUCUUUGGCAGGCACACAGAGGUGAAUCACAAUACAAACUCAUAGAUUGGAAUAACACCCUGCUUUCUUUGUGGAAAACUGCUCUGUCUUUAGUUUGUUGCUGGAUGUUGGUCAGAACUGAACACUUAGAUACCACUUGACUAUGUGGCCUGAACUCGGUGCCAAAUCAUGUUGCCAGUAAAUAGUGUAGGUAUGAUCUGACUGCAUUUCUGUGGUGUUCUUCCCCAAGCCCACAGUCCCAGAAUAAUGGGGGCUGGAGUGGGGGGUGGCAUUCAGAGAACAGUUAGAAGAAGGGCCUCCUAUAAGUUACCUGACCAAGCUGGAGAGAUGGCUCAGCUGUUAAAAACCCUUGCUGUUCUUGCAGAAGCCCUGGGUUUGAUUCCCAGCACCUACCACGCAGGCUCACAACAACCUGUGACUCUGAUUCCAAAGAUGAAAAGCCCUCUUCGGACUUCCUCAGACACUACACACACAUAAUACACAUACAUACGCACAGACAGACACAUACACAUAAAAAUAAGAUAAAUACAUCUUAACAAAAGAAAACAAUUCUUCAGAACUGUCAAGAUCUUCAAAAGGAAACUAUUUGAGAGACCAUUAUAGCCAGAGGCAGUCCAAGGGCGCAGCAACUAAAUAUGCAAUGGUGGAAUCCCUUUAACACAAAAAGACAUUUUAGUUAUACAAGGAAAGUCUGAAUAAACAAUGGACUUUAUAAUAUUGGUUCAUUAACGAUUGCAAACAUACCAUGCUAAACAUGAACACUUUAGUAUUAGAACAAACUGGAUAGGAAGCAUGUGAGAACUCUGUCUGAAAUACAUUUUUUGUAAAUAAAUUGCUCUAAAAUUGAUUGUAUUUUUAAAAUUUUAACUUGUAUUUAUUGUGUGUGUGCAUAUAUAAUAUGUAUAGGGAUAAACAUGCAUGGAGAGAUAAAAGGAAAACUUAAUGGAGUCCAUUCUCUCAACUUUUCUGUGGAUCCCAAGGGACCAAACUCAAGUCUGCAGGCUUAUGUGACAGGCAUCUUGAUUAACCACUGAGGUAUCUUGUUGAGCCAAGUCUGUUGUAUUUUUCAAGAAUCAAAUCUGAAUCACCAUGUCACGAUAUUUUAAACCCAAAACUUUCCAAAAUAGUAAAACAUACCCACUUGUAGUGUUCUUGCAUGCCUCAUUUAAAUUUCUUCUUUAAUUUUGGCUUUUUGGGACAGGAUUUUUUGGACCCCAAUCUGGAUUCAAACUCACAGUGUAGCUCAAGGGUGACCUGGGAGUGAAUGUCCUGCCUCCCCUUGCCAAGUGCGAGGACUACAGGUGUUUGCCAAGACACCAUCUCAGAACUUAAACAUCA
rnacentral:lncRNA from 1 species